rnacentral:rRNA from 1 species
CCUACGGGAGGCAGCAGUGGGGAAUCUUGCGCAAUGGGCGAAAGCCUGACGCAGCCAUGCCGCGUGAAUGAUGAAGGUCUUAGGAUUGUAAAAUUCUUUCACCGGGGGACGAUAAUGACGGUACCCGGAGAAGAAGCCCCGGCUAACUUCGUGCCAGCAGCCGCGGUAAUACGAAGGGGGGCUAGCGUUGCUCGGAAUUACUGGGCGUAAAGGGAGCGUAGGCGGAUAGUUUAGUCAGAGGUGAAAGCCCAGGGCUCAACCUUGGAAUUGCCUUUGAUACUGGCUAUCUUGAGUAUGGGAGAGGUUAGCGGAACUCCGAGUGUAGAGGUGAAAUUCGUAGAUAUUCGGAAGAACACCAGUGGCGAAGGCGGCUAACUGGCCCAUUACUGACGCUGAGGCUCGAAAGCGUGGGGAGCAAACAGGAUUAGAUACCCUGGUAGUCCACGCCGUAAACGAUAGAGUGCUAGUUGUCGGCAUGCAUGCAUGUCGGUGACGCGAGCGUACGACAUAA